rnacentral:rRNA from 1 species
UACACAUGCAGUCGAGCGGAUGAAGAGAGCUUGCUCUCUGAUUCAGCGGCGGACGGGUGAGUAAUGCCUAGGAAUCUGCCUGAUAGUGGGGGACAACGUUUCGAAAGGAACGCUAAUACCGCAUACGUCCUACGGGAGAAAGCAGGGGACCUUCGGGCCUUGCGCUAUCAGAUGAGCCUAGGUCGGAUUAGCUAGUUGGUGAGGUAACGGCUCACCAAGGCGACGAUCCGUAACUGGUCUGAGAGGAUGAUCAGUCACACUGGAACUGAGACACGGUCCAGACUCCUACGGGAGGCAGCAGUGGGGAAUAUUGGACAAUGGGCGAAAGCCUGAUCCAGCCAUGCCGCGUGUGUGAAGAAGGUCUUCGGAUUGUAAAGCACUUUAAGUUGGGAGGAAGGGCAUUAACCUAAUACGUUAGUGUUUUGACGUUACCGACAGAAUAAGCACCGGCUAACUUCGUGCCAGCAGCCGCGGUAAUACGAAGGGUGCAAGCGUUAAUCGGAAUUACUGGGCGUAAAGCGCGCGUAGGUGGUUUGUUAAGUUGAAUGUGAAAGCCCCGGGCUCAACCUGGGAACUGCAUCCAAAACUGGCAAGCUAGAGUAUGGCAGAGGGUGGUGGAAUUUCCUGUGUAGCGGUGAAAUGCGUAGAUAUAGGAAGGAACACCAGUGGCGAAGGCGACCACCUGGGCUAAUACUGACACUGAGGUGCGAAAGCGUGGGGAGCAAACAGGAUUAGAUACCCUGGUAGUCCACGCCGUAAACGAUGUCGACUAGCCGUUGGGAUCCUUGAGAUCUUAGUGGCGCAGCUAACGCAUUAAGUCGACC